UACGUAGGGGGCUAGCGUUGUCCGGAAUUAUUGGGCGUAAAGAGCUCGUAGGCGGUCUGUCGCGUCGGCUGUGAAAACCCGGAGCUCAACUCCGGGCCUGCAGUCGAUACGGGCAAACUGGAGUGUUGCAGGGGAGACUGGAAUUCCUGGUGUAGCGGUGAAAUGCGCAGAUAUCAGGAGGAACACCGGUGGCGAAGGCGGGUCUCUGGGCCGAUACUGACGCUGAGGAGCGAAAGCGUGGGGAGCGAACAGG
rnacentral:rRNA from 1 species